AUUGAACGCUGGCGGCAGGCUUAACACAUGCAAGUCGAGCGGGGGAAGGUAGCUUGCUACCGGACCUAGCGGCGGACGGGUGAGUAAUGCUUAGGAAUCUGCCUAUUAGUGGGGGACAACAUCUCGAAAGGGAUGCUAAUACCGCAUACGUCCUACGGGAGAAAGCAGGGGAUCUUCGGACCUUGCGCUAAUAGAUGAGCCUAAGUCGGAUUAGCUAGUUGGUGGGGUAAAGGCCUACCAAGGCGACGAUCUGUAGCGGGUCUGAGAGGAUGGUCCGCCACACUGGGACUGGGGCACGGCCCAGACUCCUACGGGAGGCAGCAGUGGGGAAUAUUGGACAAUGGGGGAAACCCUGAUCCAGCCAUGCCGCGUGUGUGAAGAAGGCCUUAUGGUUGUAAAGCACUUUAAGCGAGGAGGAGGCUACUUUAGUUAAUACCUAGAGAUAGUGGACGUUACUCGCAGAAUAAGCACCGGCUAACUCUGUGCCAGCCGCCGCGGUAA
rnacentral:rRNA from 1 species